GAUGAACGCUGGCGGCGUGCCUAAUACAUGCAAGUCGAGCGAACAGAUGAUGAUCUUUCUCCUCUUACGUUAGCGGCGGACGGGUGAGUAACACGUGGAUAACCUACCUAUAAGACUGGUAUAACUUCGGGAAACCGUAUCUAAUACCGGAUAAUAUAUUGAACCUCAUGGUUCAAUAGUGAAUGUCGUUUUUUCUGUCUCUUUUAGCUGGUUCCGCUCCGCAUUAGCUAGUUGGUAAGGUAACGGCUUACCAAGGCAACGAUGCGUAGCCGACCUGAGAGGGUGAGCGGAAACACGGGAACUGAGACACGGACAAGACACCUACGGGAGGCAGCAGUAGGGAAUCUUCCGCAAUGGGCGAAAGCAUGACGGAGCAACGCCGCGUGAGUGAUGAAGGUCCUCGGAUCGUAAAACUCUGUUAUUAGGGAAGAACAAAUGUGUAAGUAAAUAUGCACGUCUUGACGGUAACUAAUCAGAAAGCAACGGCUAACUACGUG
rnacentral:rRNA from 1 species